rnacentral:lncRNA from 1 species
CCUUGAUUGUCCGGUUCUUGCAGCAAGCGUAGCCCAAAAGGGCCAGUCUUCUAGAAUCUGGACACGGGAUCGAACUGAGGACCUUGCACUUACAAGGCAGGUGGCAGAACAUCGUUACUCUGCUGUCAUUCAAGUACGAGUCCUUCAAGCACGGAAGGGUUACAGCUCCACACCCUCCCACUAGUACUUUCUCCGCACACACAGUCACACCAAAGGAACGAAAGGCAAGUUUUUGUAGUGUACUGUCCUUCAGACCUGCACGGUUGGGCAUUUUCUCUCUUUUUCUCAGUUGCUUUCUAAGGUUUAAGUCUUGCAUAGAAUAGGUUUGUAGCAAAAGGCAGCUGGGAGACUCCUGCCCAAAGUUAACCUUAGAAAGUGCCCUGGGAAAAGAGAACAUGGCACCCCAGCCUCCUUGUGAAACGGGCCAUCCCAAGCUAGGCCAGUG